rnacentral:piRNA from 1 species
UCCUACAUAUGACCUGGUUAGAUUUGC